GGGUUGUGAGGUUAAGCGACUAAGCGUACACGGUGGAUGCCCUGGCAGUCAGAGGCGAUGAAGGACGUGCUAAUCUGCGAUAAGCGUCGGUGAGGUGAUAUGAACCGUUAUAACCGGCGAUUUCCGAAUGGGGAAACCCAGUGUGUUUCGACACACUAUCAUUAACUGAAUCCAUAGGUUAAUGAGGCGAACCGGGGGAACUGAAACAUCUAAGUACCCCGAGGAAAAGAAAUCAACCGAGAUUCCCCCAGUAGCGGCGAGCGAACGGGGAGGAGCCCAGAGCCUGAAUCAGUGUGUGUGUUAGUGGAAGCGUCUGGAAAGGCGUGCGAUACAGGGUGACAGCCCCGUACACAAAAAUGCACAUAUUGUGAGCUCGAUGAGUAGGGCGGGACACGUGGUAUCCUGUCUGAAUAUGGGGGGACCAUCCUCCAAGGCUAAAUACUCCUGACUGACCGAUAGUGAACCAGUACCGUGAGGGAAAGGCGAAAAGAACCCCGGCGAGGGGAGUGAAAAAGAACCUGAAACCGUGUACGUACAAGCAGUGGGAGCCUCUUAAUGGGGUGACUGCGUACCUUUUGUAUAAUGGGUCAGCGACUUAUAUUCUGUAGCAAGGUUAACCGAAUAGGGGAGCCGAAGGGAAACCGAGUCUUAACUGGGCGUUAAGUUGCAGGGUAUAGACCCGAAACCCGGUGAUCUAGCCAUGGGCAGGUUGAAGGUUGGGUAACACUAACUGGAGGACCGAACCGACUAAUGUUGAAAAAUUAGCGGAUGACUUGUGGCUGGGGGUGAAAGGCCAAUCAAACCGGGAGAUAGCUGGUUCUCCCCGAAAGCUAUUUAGGUAGCGCCUCGUGAAUUCAUCUCCGGGGGUAGAGCACUGUUUCGGCAAGGGGGUCAUCCCGACUUACCAACCCGAUGCAAACUGCGAAUACCGGAGAAUGUUAUCACGGGAGACACACGGCGGGUGCUAACGUCCGUCGUGAAGAGGGAAACAACCCAGACCGCCAGCUAAGGUCCCAAAGUCAUGGUUAAGUGGGAAACGAUGUGGGAAGGCCCAGACAGCCAGGAUGUUGGCUUAGAAGCAGCCAUCAUUUAAAGAAAGCGUAAUAGCUCACUGGUCGAGUCGGCCUGCGCGGAAGAUGUAACGGGGCUAAACCAUGCACCGAAGCUGCGGCAGCGACACUAUGUGUUGUUGGGUAGGGGAGCGUUCUGUAAGCCUGUGAAGGUGGCCUGUGAGGGUUGCUGGAGGUAUCAGAAGUGCGAAUGCUGACAUAAGUAACGAUAAAGCGGGUGAAAAGCCCGCUCGCCGGAAGACCAAGGGUUCCUGUCCAACGUUAAUCGGGGCAGGGUGAGUCGACCCCUAAGGCGAGGCCGAAAGGCGUAGUCGAUGGGAAACAGGUUAAUAUUCCUGUACUUGGUGUUACUGCGAAGGGGGGACGGAGAAGGCUAUGUUGGCCGGGCGACGGUUGUCCCGGUUUAAGCGUGUAGGCUGGUUUUCCAGGCAAAUCCGGAAAACCAAGGCUGAGGCGUUAUGACGAGGCACUACGGUGCUGAAGCGACAAAUGCCCUGCUUCCAGGAAAAGCCUCUAAGCAUCAGGUAACAUCAAAUCGUACCCAAAACCGACACAGGUGGUCAGGUAGAGAAUACCAAGGCGCUUGAGAGAACUCGGGUGAAGGAACUAGGCAAAAUGGUGCCGUAACUUCGGGAGAAGGCACGCUGAUAUGUAGGUGAAGCGACUUGCUCGUGGAGCUGAAAUCAGUCGAAGAUACCAGCUGGCUGCAACUGUUUAUUAAAAACACAGCACUGUGCAAACACGAAAGUGGACGUAUACGGUGUGACGCCUGCCCGGUGCCGGAAGGUUAAUUGAUGGGGUUAGCGGUAACGCGAAGCUCUUGAUCGAAGCCCCGGUAAACGGCGGCCGUAACUAUAACGGUCCUAAGGUAGCGAAAUUCCUUGUCGGGUAAGUUCCGACCUGCACGAAUGGCGUAAUGAUGGCCAGGCUGUCUCCACCCGAGACUCAGUGAAAUUGAACUCGCUGUGAAGAUGCAGUGUACCCGCGGCAAGACGGAAAGACCCCGUGAACCUUUACUAUAGCUUGACACUGAACAUUGAGCCUUGAUGUGUAGGAUAGGUGGGAGGCUUUGAAGUGUGGACGCCAGUCUGCAUGGAGCCGACCUUGAAAUACCACCCUUUAAUGUUUGAUGUUCUAACGUUGGCCCGUAAUCCGGGUUGCGGACAGUGUCUGGUGGGUAGUUUGACUGGGGCGGUCUCCUCCUAAAGAGUAACGGAGGAGCACGAAGGUUGGCUAAUCCUGGUCGGACAUCAGGAGGUUAGUGCAAUGGCAUAAGCCAGCUUGACUGCGAGCGUGACGGCGCGAGCAGGUGCGAAAGCAGGUCAUAGUGAUCCGGUGGUUCUGAAUGGAAGGGCCAUCGCUCAACGGAUAAAAGGUACUCCGGGGAUAACAGGCUGAUACCGCCCAAGAGUUCAUAUCGACGGCGGUGUUUGGCACCUCGAUGUCGGCUCAUCACAUCCUGGGGCUGAAGUAGGUCCCAAGGGUAUGGCUGUUCGCCAUUUAAAGUGGUACGCGAGCUGGGUUUAGAACGUCGUGAGACAGUUCGGUCCCUAUCUGCCGUGGGCGCUGGAGAACUGAGGGGGGCUGCUCCUAGUACGAGAGGACCGGAGUGGACGCAUCACUGGUGUUCGGGUUGUCAUGCCAAUGGCACUGCCCGGUAGCUAAAUGCGGAAGAGAUAAGUGCUGAAAGCAUCUAAGCACGAAACUUGCCCCGAGAUGAGUUCUCCCUGACUCCUUGAGGGUCCUGAAGGAACGUUGAAGACGACGACGUUGAUAGGCCGGGUGUGUAAGCGCAGCGAUGCGUUGAGCUAACCGGUACUAAUGAACCGUGAGGCUUAACCUUACAACGCCGAAG
rnacentral:rRNA from 1 species